GUUUACAGCGUUUGCUAUUUCUCUCCACCGUUUCUUUUUCUCAGCGCAGUUGUGGUACAUAUAUGUGAAACGUCAUACAGGCAUUCAUAACUGUGACAUGCUACUCAUCUUUCCGUGGACCUCAACCCCUUGUCUGAUUGGCUGUAGCUCGUGACAUCACAGGAGGGUGAGUCGCGCGACAGCUCCAGAUAUCUAGCAUGUUAGAUAUUUUUCUGGUGUCGGCGACGCGUCUGCGAGCGUCUUUGAUGCGUUGUUGGCUCUUUCAUACCAACAGAUUCGCGAACGUCGAUCGUCCGCUAAUCCCCCGCGAUUUGCACCGAUCACACCCCGACUUGUCGGCGAGCGAACGACUUGCAAAUCGGGCUUAAAUCUGGCUUAAAAUCAUGUAGUGUGAACUUAGCUUUAAAGGCUUAUUUUAUGUACAUCAUUGUCUACCAUGUUUAAACAAAAGAGAUAUGGCGAAGAGAGUAGUCAGGAGAAAAGUGAUGAUGUCAGCAUGUAGGAUGUCUGUGCUAUGAAUAGUGUGAGUACCAAGUAACAUCUCCAGGUGCUACUUUGAGAACCAGGACAAAAAAGUUAUGUGCACCCCUGAUUAUAGGCUUAUUGUUACAGUUGCGUCCCCUCUACUGCCGUAACAUCAUCGUAAAUGCGAUACAAACACACACACACACACACAACAUGGAGCAACAGAGCAUAUUAAUGGAAUGCAGCCACAAAAUCAAAAUUGACACCCACAAGAAGAUUUUCCUCUACCUCUCUCACAUGACAGGUUCUGUACAAACACCCGUGUCAUCGGUAUGUGCACUCCGCUGACAGAACAUUUAUGCCUAUACUUUUGGUGCGUUUUGGAUGCGGAGCCAUGCGCAAAGUUACAAAAAUGCCAUGCAGACAUGGGUGCAGUGGUGUGCUCUGCUUUUUUGUAAAUUUGCACAUGGCUUCGCAUCCGAAACCCAUUACCCCUCUCCCUAUGCAAUGGAAAAGCAUCAAAAGUGUCCUACUUCCUGGCUUGAAGGAUUUAGCAGUUUCAGCGUUGGACUUGUGUUCCGCGUGUUUGGCCUCUUUAGCACUUGCUGUUUGAAAGUCAUUCCUUGCAACAGAUUGAGUGACUGUCAUUCUGCAUUUCUGUUUGCAUUGCUUUGCUUGCAUUUGAAUCCUUUGCAAUAAUAAAAGUUUUACAUUUGA